UCCUUUUAAAAUUAAUAUAAUGUAUGUUGAAUAAUUCAAAGGUCACCCUCUUAAUUUCUUAGUCACACCUCUUAAUUCUCUUAAUUACACCUUUUUCCACCCUUACUUACAAUUGCAGUUAGUGAUGACUGAUGAACGUAUAGAAAAUAAAGGGUCAGCAGACAAAUGCUUAAAAUUUGAGGGCCAGACUUAUAACGCCCAUCUUCAUCAUUUAUUAGCAAACAAAAGUAAUGACUAUAUAGAAGAUUAAGGGUCCGCCAAAUAAUGUCAUAUAAUUGAGGGGUAUAUUGAGGAGGUUCUUCAUCAUCAUUGAAUAACAGUGGAGCAAGCGCAAAGCAACGGCAAAAGCAAGAAAGUACAAUUCAGUAAGUUUUACCAUUUGAAUUACAUUUGGAAGAGGAGAGAAUGGAGAAAGAGAUGAGAUUACCCUUCUUAUAUGACGAGGAGAGUUACGAUGUUUGGCACUCCAAAGAGGAUCAUUUAAGUUAGCAUCUUGAUGAUCUAGACGUAAAUGAAGACAUCUUAACAUUUUUAUCAUGAAUUCCUGAUAUCCGAGAUAGCUAAUAUUGGAGUAUAUUAUGUUCUUUUUUCCCCUUAUGUUCUUAUUAAUAGAGUAUUAUAUUCAAUCUUUAAAAAAAAAAAAAAAAAUUAAUCAGCUGAAUAGUACUUUGUA